GAUGAAGAACGCAGCGAAAUGCGAUACGUAAUGUGAAUUGCAGAAUUCAGUGAAUCAUCGAAUCUUUGAACGCACAUUGCGCCCUGUGGUAUUCCGCAGGGCAUGCCUGUUCGAGCGUCAUUUCAACCCUCAAGCUCUGCUUGGUGUUGGGCCCUGCCCGCUGCGGCCGGCCCUAAAGACAGUGGCGGUGCCGCCUGGCCCUGAGCGUAGUACAUCUCUCGCUCCAGUGCCCGGUGGUAGCCUGCCAGAACCCCAACUCUCGUGGUUGACCUCGGAUCAGGUAGGGAUACCCGCUGAACUUAAGCAUAUCAAUAAGCGGAGGA
rnacentral:misc_RNA from 1 species